AUUCCUGACCUGUGACACGCUCACUGCGAAGGCAGGUUAUUAGAAGAGUCCCAUGAAAGUAAACAGGGUAUUAAAACGGAUCCUUAAAAAUGAAAGUGCAGGCUGAAAGUUGGUAGUGUGGGAGGUAGAGGGUGUGUGUUCUUGUGCAGAGGAGCGUGGGGUUUGCAGAGGAGACAGGGGAGCUUUGUGUACCCGGAGCAAUGAACAAGCGGCGACUUCUCUACCCCUCAGGGUGGCUCCACGGUCCCAGCGACAUGCAGGGGCUCCUCUUCUCCACUCUUCUGCUUGCUGGCCUGGCACAGUUCUGCUGCAGGGUACAGGGCACUGGACCAUUAGAUACAACACCUGAAGGAAGGCCUGGAGAAGUGUCAGAUGCACCUCAGCGUAAACAGUUUUGUCACUGGCCCUGCAAAUGCCCUCAGCAGAAGCCCCGUUGCCCUCCUGGAGUGAGCCUGGUGAGAGAUGGCUGUGGAUGCUGUAAAAUCUGUGCCAAGCAACCAGGGGAAAUCUGCAAUGAAGCUGACCUCUGUGACCCACACAAAGGGCUGUAUUGUGACUACUCAGUAGACAGGCCUAGGUACGAGACUGGAGUGUGUGCAUACCUUGUAGCUGUUGGGUGCGAGUUCAACCAGGUACAUUAUCAUAAUGGCCAAGUGUUUCAGCCCAACCCCUUGUUCAGCUGCCUCUGUGUGAGUGGGGCCAUUGGAUGCACACCUCUGUUCAUACCAAAGCUGGCUGGCAGUCACUGCUCUGGAGCUAAAGGUGGAAAGAAGUCUGAUCAGUCAAACUGUAGCCUGGAACCAUUACUACAGCAGCUUUCAACAAGCUACAAAACAAUGCCAGAUGUGUGCCAAGCUUCUAAUCUGCUUCCUGCAUUGAGGUCUUUAAACUGUUGUCUACCUUCCAGCUUAUAGAAAUCUCCCACUUAUUUGGAAAAAAAAAUGUCUUGUGCAAGCAACAAAAUGGACUCCCUGCUCCAGAACAUGUGGGAUGGGAAUAUCUAACAGGGUGACCAAUGAAAACAGCAACUGUGAAAUGAGAAAAGAGAAAAGACUGUGUUACAUUCAGCCUUGCGACAGCAAUAUAUUAAAGACAAUAAAGAUUCCCAAAGGAAAAACAUGCCAACCUACUUUCCAACUCUCCAAAGCUGAAAAAUUUGUCUUUUCUGGAUGCUCAAGUACUCAGAGUUACAAACCCACUUUUUGUGGAAUAUGCUUGGAUAAGAGAUGCUGUAUCCCUAAUAAGUCUAAAAUGAUUACUAUUCAAUUUGAUUGCCCAAAUGAGGGGUCAUUUAAAUGGAAGAUGCUGUGGAUUACAUCUUGUGUGUGUCAGAGAAACUGCAGAGAACCUGGAGAUAUAUUUUCUGAGCUCAAGAUUCUGUAAAACCAAGCAAAUGGGGGAAAAGUUAGUCAAUCCUGUCAUAUAAUAAAAAAAUUAGUGAGUAUAAAA